CACGCUGUGAUGAGGUUACCCUAGUGUUGUUUGGCAGUGGCGGCUUUACUGCCGUGAGCCUUCACAAAAAAAAAUGACUUCUUCAUCCACUGAGCAUU
rnacentral:snoRNA from 1 species